rnacentral:rRNA from 1 species
UACAGAGGUCCCAAGCGUUGUUCGGAUUCACUGGGCGUAAAGGGUGCGUAGGUGGUGAGGUAAGUCGGAUGUGAAAGCUCGGAGCUCAACUCCGAAAUGGCAUUGGAAACUACCUUGCUAGAGGGUUGGAGGGGGGGACUGGAAUACUUGGUGUAGCAGUGAAAUGCGUAGAUAUCAAGUGGAACACCAGUGGCGAAGGCGAGUCCCUGGACAACUCCUGACACUGAGGCACGAAAGCUAGGGGAGCAAACAGG